rnacentral:rRNA from 1 species
UGGGGAAUAUUGCGCAAUGGGCGAAAGCCUGACGCAGCGACGCCGCGUGAGGGAUGAAGGUUUUCGGAUCGUAAACCUCUGUCAGAAGGGAAGAAACCGCACUGUGCUAAUCAGCAGUGCCUUGACGGUACCUUCAAAGGAAGCACCGGCUAACUCCGUGCCAGCAGCCGCAGUAAUACGGAGGGUGCAAGCGUUAAUCGGAAUUACUGGGCGUAAAGCGCACGUAGGCUGCUUUGUAAGUCAGGGGUGAAAUCCCACGGCUCAACCGUGGAACUGCCCUUGAUACUGCUUAGCUUGAAUCCGGGAGAGGGUGGCGGAAUUCCAGGUGUAGGAGUGAAAUCCGUAGAUAUCUGGAGGAACAUCAGUGGCGAAGGCGGCCACCUGGACCGGUAUUGACGCUGAGGUGCGAAAGCGUGGGGAGCAAACAGG